rnacentral:rRNA from 1 species
GUUGGACUAUGGAGGAAUCGCUGAUCCAGUCCACCCGCGUGGAUGGUGCAGGCCUGCGGUUCGUAAUGUACUUUUGGAUGAUCAUGGAAGGUAUCUUCUUAUACGAUAUCCUGCAGACUGUAUUAUCAGACUAAGCGCCGCCUAACUCCGUUCAAUCAGCCGCGGUAAUACGUAGGGUGUAAGCGUUAAUCGGAACUACUGGGCGUAAAGCGGGUGUAGGCGGUUCGGAAAGAAAGAUGUGAAAUCCCAGGGCUCAACCUUGGAACUGCAUUUUUAACUGCCGAGCUAGAGUAUGUCAGAGGGGGGUAGAAUUCCACGUGUAGCAGUGAAAUGCGUAGAUAUGUGGAGGAAUACCGAUGGCGAAGGCAGCCCCCUGGGAUAAUACUGACGCUCAGACACGAAAGCGUGGGGAGCAAACAGG